rnacentral:lncRNA from 1 species
AUCAGACUCCAAGGAGAGGCCAACAGAUGAGGGAGCCAUUUUUCUGCAAUGGAAUUAAAUGGCCAAGUGGGUUUUUCCUUUGUUGCAAAUGGGGAAUGCUUUUCCUUUGACUCCACCAUCCAGUUCAGGACGCCUGAAUGUGUUUAACAUUUGCCAAAGGACUCACACUUGGAAGAAUGAAGACCUUUUAAAAAGAUCUGGAUUUUUCCUUAUGACUUGGAAUCCAUCUUUGUCUUGUAUAACUAGGUCAUAGCACACUAUUAAUGUCAGCAGUUAACAGUUUUGAAUUCAAAAAAACCUAAAGCACUAAACAGCCCUCAGCGAAGCCGCCUUUUUGCCAGCCCAACCCUGGAAAGUUUGCAGUCGUGGAAGGAGCAGAAAUACCACGAGUGUAACUUACAAAGAAGGUCUUGGCCGGAGACCGGAGCCAUGUCUGUGUUAUCCCCACUGUAGACAAUCCUUGCUUCCUCUGGACAUCUGGAGCAGGCCCAAUUUGACUGAGAGCCUUCCCCCACUAAGGAAUUCCUGGACAAUGGAGAGUGCCCCAGGCCCCCUGAACAUCUUGCUGAUGAGGGAGUAAAGCCACCCUGGUUACAGAUCCAGCCCCACCAUCACCACCAGAGUUGAGUCCAAAUCCAACACUCUAGGCCGGGUAGUGCUGGGACUUUGCCAGCCUCCUGCUGAGUGAAUUCUCCCCUUGGCAAACUGCAGCCAGCCAGCCUCCUGGGUCGAGAGCCAAGCCAAAAGAUGUCUGAGAGAAGAAACCUGGGGUCCUGCAAAGCCCUCCUCCUCCCCCCCCCCCCCCUUCAGCCAGCACUUAGGCCCUCCCUGAUUUAGCCCGUUACCUUGACAACCACUUGGGCCUGUCUCCCUCAUCACCACUGAAAACCUGAAGGUGGUUUUCCAGCUGCGGUACAUUUGCCCAAGUUGGGCACCCCUCCAGCUUCUAUUGGCUCGCCCUCUAUACAGCUGUACCCAAUAUAACAAACACAACCUUCCUGGCCCCUCAGCUGUAGUCUCGAAAUUGAUCUCACUGGUCCCGGGAACUCCGUCAAUACUGCCUCCUCUAGACUGAGCUCCUCACAGGCAGGAACAUGGUUGUUUCUCAAUAAACAAGUUGCAAAAAAA